rnacentral:lncRNA from 1 species
GUUAAGUCUGUCAAGAGAAAUGAUUAUUCUACUGCGGCAACAGUGUACAGUGUGGUAUGCUACUAUACCUUAUUUCUCAACGUGCAGUCUUGAAUUAUAUCAGCUGAAGUUGCUUGAAUUGAUGUUAGGUGGUCAUGAUCUGGUUUCACAUUAUUCUUGUCAUACAUGCUCACUUUAGAGAGAGUGAUGAUCUUUGCGACCGAUAAGUACACUUGGCCUCAUGCUUUGCUUUGAGACACAUCUCUCUUUGAUUUAUUGAAAAUAAUUUUUAUUGCCGUAUGUAAGUUUGAUCAUGAGGACCUGACAAGGACUUACUGUAUCCUUAAACAGCAGUAGAACCGUUGUUCAUUUCACUUUUUGAUGGGGAACGACAUGGGCUCUGCUUUUGCACUGUAGCAGAGGGGAAAACACAGUACAACUGUACAUCAGAGAAAAACGCGUAAGACUCACACAUGGAAGCUAAACUAAGCAACCCAGCACCCUAACUCGGAUGAGCAUACUCGAGGAUCAGAACAUCCUCCUGAAUGGAACUAGCUAACGCAGCCGCUUUAUCAUUUUCUGCUCUAAGAUCCUUCGGCUUCUGACCACGAUUCCCUUUUUCCGGGAUCCUCCUCCACCACUUGCAAUCGUGGGUGAGGAAAACACAAUGGAGGAAAUGAUGGGGUCGUCAAAGCUGGAAUUGUUGCCACACAUCCUUUGGAUAAAAGCACUUGAGAGAAACUUGCAGCGCACUCUCAGGUUCCUGGUCAUACAAGCAGCAAAUACUGUUGUGUGGCCAACCUCAUGCACUGAGCCUGUUCGCUGUCCAGUUGUUGAUUUCUGGGUUGUGGGUUUGGACAUUAAGAGAUUUUGAUAUCUCUUACUUGCAAGGAAGAAUGGAGAAUUAUUUGUACAUAGAAAUUGAACCUGUUUGACAAUUGUCUUCACUUCAACAUUGUCCUAUUCUUGUACUUCAGUUACUGCUAUAAGGACAUUAGCUUGAAUUGAAUUGACAAUA